rnacentral:tRNA from 1 species
GGAGCUGUGGCUUAAGUGGUAGAGCACUUGUCUUGAGCACAAAAGUUCAAGGUGAGUACUCAGCCCCA